rnacentral:lncRNA from 1 species
UCCUGCUCCUGGAAAGCCACUAACUUUCUGAUUUCAGUUCCAACCAUUUUCUAAAACACCUGCAGUCAGCUGCAAAAAACUGCCUUAAGUUAAGAAAACCCCAAGUGGCUAAGUGUGGUGUCCCAUACUCUGAAUUUGUGCUCUGCAUUUAACCCAUCCAAGUGCACACACACAGCAGUAAGUAGUGAACACACACACACACUGUGAACACACACCCGGAGCAGUGGGCAGCCACUUUUUGCUGUGGGUUCAGUGUCUUGCUCAAGGGGACCACUGUUGUGGGUAAUGCGGGUGGAAGAAAGUGCUGGUCAUUCACUCCCCCAACCUACAUUUCCUGCCGGUGCUGAGACUCAAACCCGCAACUUUCAGGCUACAAGCCUGACUCUAACCAUUUGGCCACGACUACCCAUAAACAUAAUUGUGUUUCAACUGGACACUGUCAGUAAUUUCCAUGUAAACUCAAAUGCUUUGAUUUGUUGAUUCAGAUGCAUUUAAUUAAGUCAGGGUGUCCAAUCCUGCUCCUGGAGGGUGUGUGUGUGUAAAAUAUUUAUUGUGGUAAUAAUCACCUCUGGCACCUCUAACCGACAGCAAACCUUCAUUGCAAGGUACUUCUUUGAUGCCAUUCAGGAAAACAGUGGUUGCCCACGAUUCAUAAGGGCAGACAGAGGAAAGGAAAAUCUUCAGAUGCAAGUGAUGCAAGUGGCAUUUCACUUCCGGGAGUCUGGUGAUCAAGGACGAGACUCCUUCAGAGUGGGCACAUCAGUACAUAAUCAGCGAGCUGAAUGCUUCAACAGUAUGCUGAAGAAAACAUGGAUCAAAAAGUGACCUUUGACAUUUGAGGUGAACUUUGUUUUUGUCUCAGUUGGAAUGUAUAGCACAUGCUUAUUGAUGCUAAAUUGAAGGCAUUUUGUAAUAGAUAUACUCAUCUAAAAAAUGUGUGUUUUUAGGCCAUGAUGGAAUCUGGCAUGCUCGAUUUGGACAAUCCUGUACACAUAAAUUGCCUGCAAUAUACACACCUCCCCCUCCUUGAGAGAGAGCUGAACAUAGAGCAAAGACUGUGGAACACUCAUGACAUUCGCAAGCAAAGGAAUGUUCCAGGUCAAUCUGGGAAACCAGACCUUCUCUUUACUUCCCCACCCGAAGGUAUCUGUUUCAUCCAA